rnacentral:tRNA from 1 species
GGAUGGUUGGCAGAGCGGUUGAAUGCAUCCGACUUGAAAUCGGACAAGGUAUGAAAUAAGACCUUCGGGGGUUCAAAUCCCUCACCAUCCGCCA